GGGAAACCGGGAUUAAUACCAAAUAAAAUCAUAAUGACACAUGUCAUAACGAUCUAAAACUCUGGUGGUCUAAGAUGGACUCGCGUCCCAUUAGCUAGUUGGUAGAGUAAAAGCCUACCAAGGCGACGAUGGGUAGCCGGCCUGAGAGGGUGAACGGCCACAUUGGAACUGAGAAACGGUCCAA
rnacentral:rRNA from 1 species